AACGAACGCUGGCGGCAUGCCUAACACAUGCAAGUCGAACGACACCUUCGGGUCUAGUGGCGCACGGGUGCGUAACGCGUGGGAACCUGCCCUUAGGUUCGGAAUAACUCCCCGAAAGGGGUGCUAAUACCGGAUAAUGUCUUCGGACCAAAGAUUUAUCGCCUUUGGAUGGGCCCGCGUUGGAUUAGCUAGUUGGUAGGGUAAAAGCCUACCAAGGCGACGAUACAUAGCUGGUCUGAGAGGAUGAUCAGCCACACUGGGACUGGGACACGGCCCAGACUCCUACGGGAGGCAGCAGUGGGGAAUAUUGGACAAUGGGCGAAAGCCUGAUCCAGCACUGCCGCGUGAGUGAUGAAGGCCUUAGGGUUGUAAAGCUCUUUUACCCGGGAUGAUAAUGACAGUACCGGGAGAAUAAGCACCGGCUAACUCCGUG
rnacentral:rRNA from 1 species